UACGUAGGGACCGAGCGUUGUCCGGAAUCAUUGGGCGUAAAGAGCGUGUAGGCGGCUCGCUAAGUCUUGCGUGAAAUCUCGGGGCUCAACCCCGAGCGGUCGUGGAGAAACUGGCGGGCUAGAGUGCGGGAGAGGAGAGUGGAAUUCCUGGUGUAGCGGUGAAAUGCGCAGAUAUCGAGGAAGAACACCCGUGGCGAAGGCGGCUCUCUGGAACGCAACUGACGCUGAGACGCGAAAGCGUGGGGAGCAAACAGG
rnacentral:rRNA from 1 species